rnacentral:rRNA from 1 species
CGAGAACGUUUCAGCUUGCUGAAGCUAGUAAAGUGGCGCACGGGUGAGUAACGCGUGGGUAAUCUACCUCCGAAUUGGGGAUAACCCCGCGAAAGCGGGGCUAAUACCGGAUAAUAUCUUUAUAACCUAUGUUAUUUUGAUCAAAGGUGGCCUCUACAUGUAAGCUACUGUUUGGGGAUGAGCCCGCGUACCAUUAGCUUGUUGGUAGGGUAAUGGCCUACCAAGGCUACGAUGGUUAGCUGGUCUGAGAGGAUGAUCAGCCACACUGGAACUGGCACACGGUCCAGACUCCUACGGGAGGCAGCAGUGAGGAAUUUUGCGCAAUGGGGGAAACCCUGACGCAGCAACGCCGCGUGAGUGAUGAAGGCUUUCGGGUCGUAAAGCUCUGUCAAGUGGGAAGAACCCACAUGGUGAUAAUACCAUCAUGUGCUGACGGUACCACUGAAGGAAGCACCGGCUAACUU